rnacentral:rRNA from 1 species
GACGAACGCUGGCGGCGUGCUUAACACAUGCAAGUCGAGCGGUAAGGCCCUUUCGGGGGUACACGAGCGGCGAACGGGUGAGUAACACGUGGGUGACCUGCCCUCAGCUCUGGGAUAAGCCUGGGAAACCGGGUCUAAUACCGGAUAUGACUCCAUGACGCAUGUUGUGGGGUGGAAAGCCUUGUGCGGCUGAGGAUGGGCCCGCGGCCUAUCAGCUUGUUGGUGGGGUGAUGGCCUACCAAGGCGACGACGGGUAGCCGGCCUGAGAGGGCGACCGGCCACACUGGGACUGAGACACGGCCCAGACUCCUACGGGAGGCGAGCAGUGGGGAAUCUUGCGCAAUGGGCGAAAGCCUGACGCAGCGACGCCGCGUGAGGGAUGACGGCCUGGU